AUUUUGAGAGUUUUAGUUAGAAAAAUAUUUGGUUACAUUCGAUAUAGUGUUAUAUAAAAGAUUACUGGUUUAAUUUAUUAAUAAACUUAUAAUGUUACAAAUUAAUUCUCUAUUCCUAUGAAUAGAUAUUAAUUGCUUUUGCAUUCAUUUCCGCUCGAUAACACAAUCCAGUAUGCCUGAAAAUUCAGACAAUGUGAGACAAGCUGGAUACACGGCUUGGGGUACAGUUAGCGCACAAAAUAUUACCCACGUUUUUCAGACCGAAGCUACACCCGAUGGGGUUUGGGGCGCAUUUCAUAAAUUAUAACUACCAUUUCAAGAAAUUUAAAGAUAAUAUCUUGAGAAAUUAUGGGGGAAAUGAUAUAAAAAAUUAUAUUAACGCCUAAAUUUUUAUUUAUUAUAAUUAUAGCUUAUUUAAAAUA